UACGUAGGUGGCGGGCGUUGUCCGGAUUUACUGGGCGUAAAGAGCGCGCAGGCGGUCGUGCAAGUCGCGUGUGAAAGCCCCCGGCUCAACUGGGGAGGGUCACGCGAUACUGCUCGACUCGAAGGCAGGAGAGGGAAGUGGAAUUCCCGGUGUAGUGGUGAAAUGCGUAGAUAUCGGGAGGAACACCAGUGGCGAAGGCGACUUCCUGGCCUGUUCUUGACGCUGAGGCGCGAAAGCUAGGGUAGCAAACGGG
rnacentral:rRNA from 1 species